rnacentral:rRNA from 1 species
GACGAACGCUGGCGGCGUGCUUAACACAUGCAAGUCGAACGAUGAAGCUGGAGCUUGCUCCGGUGGAUUAGUGGCGAACGGGUGAGUAACACGUGAGAAGUCUGCCCUUCACUCUGGGAUAACUGCGGGAAACUGUAGCUAAUACCGGAUACUUUCCCUGGUGGGCAUCCACUAGGGAAGAAAGAAUUUCGGUGAAGGAUGAUCUCGCGGCCUAUCAGCUAGUUGGUGAGGUAAUGGCUCACCAAGGCGACGACGGGUAGCCGGCCUGAGAGGGUGACCGGCCACACUGGGACUGAGACACGGCCCAGACUCCUACGGGAGGCAGCAGUGGGGAAUAUUGCACAAUGGGCGAAAGCCUGAUGCAGCAACGCCGCGUGAGGGAUGAAGGCCUUCGGGUUGUAAACCUCUUUUAGCAGGGAAGAAGCGAAAGUGACGGUACCUGCAGAAAAAGCACCGGCUAACUACGUGCCAGCCGCCGCCGUAA